GACGAACGCUGGCGGCGUGCUUAACACAUGCAAGUCGAACGGAAAGGCCCUGCUUUUGUGGGGUGCUCGAGUGGCGAACGGGUGAGUAACACGUGAGUAACCUGCCCUUGACUUUGGGAUAACUUCAGGAAACUGGGGCUAAUACCGGAUAGGAGCCCCUGCUGCAUGGUGGGGGUUGGAAAGUUUCGGCGGUUGGGGAUGGACUCGCGGCUUAUCAGCUUGUUGGUGGGGUAGUGGCUUACCAAGGCUUUGACGGGUAACCGGCCUGAGAGGGUGACCGGCCACAUUGGGACUGAGAUACGGCCCAGACUCCUACGGGAGGCAGCAGUGGGGAAUAUUGCACAAUGGGCGGAAGCCUGAUGCAGCAACGCCGCGUGCGGGAUGACGGCCUUCGGGUUGUAAACCGCUUUCGCCUGUGACGAAGCGUGAGUGACGGUAAUGGGUAAAGAAGCACCGGCUAACUACGUG
rnacentral:rRNA from 1 species